rnacentral:rRNA from 1 species
UACGGAGGGUGCAAGCGUUAUCCGGGCUCACUGGGUUUAAAGGGUGCGUCGGCGGCUAAAUAAGUCAGAGGUGAAAGCUUGCAGCUUAACUGCGAAAUUGCCUUUGAUACUGUAUAGCUUGAAAGUAGCUGAGGUCAGCAGAAUGUGGUAUGUAGCGGUGAAAUGCAUAUAAAUGCCAUAGAAUACCAAUUGCUAAAGCAUCUGGCUGGGCUUACUUUUACCCUGAGGCACGAAAGCGUGCGGAUCGAACAGG